rnacentral:lncRNA from 1 species
AACUUGCAGAGUCAGAAUUUGAGUUCAAUUCUGACAUCAAAGCUAUGCUUUUCCUACUGUGUCAACCUGCAUAAUAAAACUACACUUCUGAGACGAGGUAAUCAUAGCCUCCUGGUAUCGCACAUCCAUGGGAAUACUGAAUUUAUUUGGACUAGAAACUAACACCUGCUGGAAUGUCACCAGAAUAGAACCUCUUAAUGAAGUUCAAAGCUGUGAAGGAUGUCAUGCCCAGAGCUGUAGCGGUCAUCUUGUGACCAUAAGGGAAAGGCCAUAAAAAUAGCAGAUAUAUCUGGCCUACCAUCCUUCUGCUGCUGAACCAAUGCCAACAGUGGGACUCAACUAGGAGGUCUUAUUACAGUACUGUGCUGCUUUUUCAACCAUGGAGAGGUCACUCGUGUGAUGUGGACACCACCUCUCCGUGAAAGUUUUUCCUAUCCAUUUCUUGUACUUCAGAUGUAUAUUUUAACUUUGAUUCUCAGGCAAUAAUUCUAAAGGAAAUAAAAUUUAAAAACUGGGAGUAUCUGAACUCAACUUUUGGGGAACAAUCAUUUUGAAAUUUCUGACAUCUAAAAUCUUAGGCGUUUCAGACCACACUGUUCGUGAUAUUUCGUGUGUUUUAGCUACAAACACUUAUCUAAGAUGCUGUCUUCGCAGUGCCAUGCCUACAAUGGCAAGCGUGAAGCUGUCUACACUUCAUCCCAUUGUGAAUCAUCCACAUUACGAAGAUGCAGACUUGAGGGCCCAGACAAAAAUAGUUUAUUCUACAUAUAGUCGAAAAUCUGCCAAAGAAGUAAGAGAUAAAUUGUUGGAGUUACAUGUGAAUUAUUAUGUUUUAGAAGAGGCAUGGUGUGUUGUGAGAACUAAGCCUGGUUGCAGUAUGCUUGAAAUCUGGGAUGUGGAAGACCCUUCCAAUGCAGCUAACCCUCCCUUACGUAGCAUCCUGCUCGAAGAUGCCAGGCUCGAAGAUGCCAGUAUUUCAGAAUAGUGUGUACAGAGUAUUGAAGGUUAACUGAGAAGGAAACUACCCAUUACACUAUGGCACAAUGCCGUGUGUCAAAAACAAUCACCCUUUGGCUUAUUUACAUUAAUAAAAAUCACAAGCUUUAAUAACAGACACUUAA